rnacentral:rRNA from 1 species
CAAUAGCGUAUAUUAACGUUGUUGCAGUUAAAAAGCUCGUAGUUGGAUUUCUGGAGGGAGCGUCGGCCCGUAUUUACGAGUGCGUGACGUCUCUGUCCAUCCUUGCGGGAAGGCACGGCAUUGAUUUGUUGUGGCGGAUCGCAUCAUUUACUGUGAAAAAAUUAGAGUGUUCAAAGCAGGCUUUCGCUUGAAUACAUUAGCAUGGAAUAAUAAGAUAGGACUUUGGUGCUAUUUUGUUGGUUGAGCCUAAAGUAAUGAUUAAUAGGGAUAGUUGGGGGCACCUGUAUUGCGUUGUCAGAGGUGAAAUUCUUGGAUUUACGCAAGACAAACAGCUGCGAAAGCGUCUGCCAAGGAUGUUUNCAUUA